UAUAGGCGAGAGGGUGUGCGCGAGAGAGGGCGAAUUUGGGGCGUAGGGUGGGAUUGAGGGGGAUAGGGAGAAAGAAAGUUGUCACAAUGUGUAUUUGAUUACUGUUAUCAGGGAGAAAAGGUCUCAUUGUUGUAGCACUCCUUUUCUUUGCUGAUGUUGUGCCUGUUUCCCGUUUACGGAGAGCAACACCCAGCAGCAGUGACAAGACCACCCCAGCUACGCUGUCCGCCUACUACUUAUGCGUCAGAAUCACCAACCAGAUUUACACUGAGUCACUCAAUAAUCAAAGCUCUAAGGAGUACAAACAGCUGAGGAAACAGGUGGAACAGAUGAUGGAUGACGUCCACAGCCAUUUGCCAGAGUCUGACAAAUAUCUGGGUGUAUUUGAUAUAAUCUUCAGGUCUACUUUCCACUCAUAUCCAAUCAAAUAAAUCCAAAACCCUUGAUCUGGACCUCGCCUAUACUGAAGGUCAACUUCCAAUAAAAGCCACAGUACCUCUUGUAGCACGUACCACAGCAACCGUAACUUCCUCACCACCAUCUACCACAAAUACCCCUGCAGCGACGACUUCUACAGCUGCCUUAGUUAGUACGGCUAGCAGUUCAGGAAGGGUCGGGAUGCAACUGCAUCUACAGCAAUGAUUUCAUCUGGCAACAUCACCAGUCUUGCAACAGUUAGUAUCACAAGUAGUCAUACCCUCACAACCACCACCACUAGUCCUGACCAAAACAGUACAAUUAGCAGCAUUACCACUCAUAUUCCUGAAGACCAUAACAGUACAAUUAGCAGCAUUACCACUCAUAUUCCUGAAGAACAUAACACUACAAUUAGCAGCAUUACCACUCAUAUUCCUGAAGAACAUAACACUACAAUUAGCAGCAUUACCACUCAUAUUCCUGAAGAACAUAACACUACAAUUAGCAACAUUACCACUCAUAUUCCUGAAGAACAAAACACUACAAUUAGCAACAUUACCACUCAUAUUCCUGAAGAACAUAACACUACAAUUAGCAAAAUUACCACUCAUAUUCCUGGAGACCAUAACACUAAAGAACACAGAGAAUACGGAGGUGACCCAUAAGACUACAGAGAAUGCUGCAGCUGUAGUUGCUGGGGGCAGAGAGGGAGUCCCAGGAUGGGGGAUCGCUCUAUUGGUACUGGCUGCCCUGAUCUUGUUAAUCCUCCUUAUUCUCCUAAUACUGCUGCUAGUGUGGUUGUGCUGUAGGCAGAGAGAUGGAAGCUUCAGACCAUAUAACCAGAUCAACCACAGGGCAGACAUCCAAAUGUACUCCACACACAGCCGCUUCGACGUGCCCAACGGCAAGCCUAAUGGUGAAAUGGGGGGACCAUCGAAAAACCGAACAGGGAUGUAUGUGGUGAACGAGUACUGACACAUAGAAGCUCCAGUCAAUUGGGUAAGAAGACCAUCUGAAAUGACCUUAUGAAGUAAUAUGCAUGGGAGCAAUGACAAUUCUGUACAAAUGGUCCAAUUAUCUCUGAAGAUCAUGGCGUUGGCUCACUGAUUGUAAUUUCAACCUGUAUUUAUUCAAAUCAAAUCACAUUGAUUUAUAAAGCCCUUUUUACAUCAGCUGAUGUCACAAAGUGCUAUACAGAAACCCAGUCUAAAACCCCAAACAGCAAGCAAUGCAGAUGUCCUGUUAUUUUAUUCCUAAUGUUUUUACCAGUGGAGGCUGCUGAGGGGAGGACGGCUCAUAAUAAUAGCCGGAAUGGAGUCAAUGGAAUGGUAUCAAACACGUGGUUUCCAUGUGGUUGUUACCAUUCCAUUGACUCCAUUUGUAUUUCGUAUUAUUCUGUACGUAAAUCAGAGACACUCCAUUUAGUAUAUGUUACUCCUCCCCGACCAACCUCCCUACUUUAGUUUCUGUCUAAAGUAACCAGGCCAUUGAAAGGUAUCAUAUGUCUUGACGUGCUCAGAAAUACAUCAAUUAUGUUUCUAAUGGCUCUGAGGCCAGGCUAGCCAUUUUGGCUUCCUUGUGGUUAUGGGUUGAGUUGUAUUUUCAGUCUUUACUGAAGGCAAGCUUAACCUUUGUAAAAAAGAAAGCUGAUCCUAGUUCAGUAAAUGGGGUCAACAUAUGUAUUCUGCAAUUAACAUUUAAGAAGAAUGAGUAGGGGAGCCCCUAAGGACAAUACCCAAUCAGGUACAGUUAACAAGAAGUUAAUUGUUUUCAAAGACUGUAAAUCAAACCUUUUGAUUUGGGCUGAGAGAUCCCGAUCUAAUUCCCUACUACUGGAUAAGACAUGUUUUGAGAUAGGAUACUAGCAUGCCAAGAAGUUAACUAUUCCACAAACCCAACCCAGUGAGUAAAACACCAAUGUUAUGUAUAUUUGACAAUCUGAUUAAAUAAAUCCACCAUUACUAAUCAAAUCUGUGAGAUGUAACUAUCUGUAAACAUUUGAAGUGACUGUGCAUUGGAGCUUUAAACUUUGCAUUAAAAAAAUCGAAAUCA